GACGAACGCUGGCGGCGUGCUUAACACAUGCAAGUCGAACGGAAAGGCGCUGCUUUUGUGGGGUGCUCGAGUGGCGAACGGGUGUGUAACACGUGGGUAUCCUGCCCUUGACAUUGGGAUAACUUCAGGAAACUGGGUCUAAUACCGGAUAGUAACUCUUGCGCCUCGGUGAGGGAUGGAAAGUAUCGGCGGUUGGGGAUGGACUGGCGGCUUAUCAGCUUGUUGGUGGGGUAGUGGCUUACCAAGGCUGUGACGGGUAGCCGGCCUGAGAGGGUGAACGGCCAAAUUGGGACUGAGGUAAGGGCCAGUAUUCUAAGGGAGGGCAGAGGUGGGAAUAAUGCGCAAUGGGAGCGAGAGUGUGGUAGAGACGCUGUGUGUGGGAUAAGGGGUUUCGCGGUGUGAAAAGCGUUCGCAUGUGAGGAGGAGUGAGUGACGGUACCGGGUAAAGAAGUAACGGCUAACUACGUG
rnacentral:rRNA from 1 species